GGGAGUGUAGCUCAGUAGGUAGAGCAACUGGCUUUUAACCAGUUGGCCGGGGGUUCAACUCCCUCCACUCUCA
rnacentral:tRNA from 1 species